rnacentral:misc_RNA from 1 species
UAGCUGCGUUAAGCGGUGUGAAUUGCAGGACACGCCGAACACUUGAUUUUCGAACGCACAUUGCACCUUCGGGUCACUCCCGAAGGUACGUCUGUCUGAGGGUCGGAAUAAAAUUGACCAUAUAAAGUGGAAAGGUCUGCAUCGAGAGUUCCCUUCGGAGCCUUCGUCGGACAUGAGUUGCUUAGCCUUACCGUCUGUGCGACGUAUGAAAGCGGCUAACAGCGCAACAUUACACGUUGUCGCUGCGCUCUUUUAGUCCUCGAGUCACAGUUGUAAGUGUAAGAGAAGCUUAGCCCGUUUCACACUGAGACUCUUAACCGUCUCAGCUUCUUUAUUUGUCGACCUCAGAUCAGGCGAGAUUACCCGCUGAAUUUAA